AUCCCUUACUCACGUGAGCAGUC
rnacentral:miRNA from 2 species